rnacentral:rRNA from 1 species
CCUACGGGAGGCAGCAGUGAGGAAUAUUGGUCAAUGGACGAGAGUCUGAACCAGCCAAGUAGCGUGAAGGAUGACUGCCCUAUGGGUUGUAAACUUCUUUUAUAUGGGAAUAAAAUGUUCCACGUGUGGGAUUUUGUAUGUACCAUAUGAAUAAGGAUCGGCUAACUCCGUGCCAGCAGCCGCGGUAAUACGGAGGAUCCGAGCGUUAUCCGGAUUUAUUGGGUUUAAAGGGUGCGUAGGUGGAUUGGUAAGUCAGUUGUGAAAGUUUUCGGCUCAACCGUAAAAUUGCAGUUGAAACUGGCAGUCUUGAGUACAGUAGAGGUGGGCGGAAUUCGUGGUGUAGCGGUGAAAUGCUUAGAUAUCACGAAGAACUCCGAUUGCGAAGGCAGUUCACUGGACUGCAACUGACACUGAGGCUCGAAAGUGUGGGUAUCAAACAGGAUUAGAUACCCCUGUAGUC